ensembl:lncRNA
GAGGCAUUAGACUUUUCACACCACAGCCAACCAACCAGAUAGAUAGGGUGCCAAUACUUGUAGAGUUGAUUAGAUAGAUAGAUAGAUAGAUAGAUAGAUAGAUAGAUAGAUAGGGUGCCAAUACUUGUAGAGUUGAUUAGACAGAUAGAUAGAUAGGGGGUCGAUACUUGUAGAGUUGAUUAGACAGAUAGAUAGAUAGAUAGAUAGAUAGAUAGAUAGGGGGUCAAUACUUGUAGAGUUGAUUAGACAGAUAGAUAGAUAGGGUGCCAAUACUUGUAGAGUUGAUUAGACAGACAGAUAGAUAGAUCGAUAGAUAGGGUGCCAAUACUUGUAAAGUUGAUUAGAUAGAUAGAUAGAUAGAUAGGGGGUCAAUACUUGUAGAGUUGAUUAGACAGAUAGAUAGAUAGAUAGAUAGAUAGAUAGAUAGAUAGGGGGUCAAUACUUGUAGAGUUGAUUAGACAGAUAGAUAGAUAGGGUGCCAAUACUUGUAGAGUUGAUUAGAUAGAUAGAUAGAUAGGGUGCCAAUACUUGUAGAGUUGAUUAGAUAGAUAGAUAGAUAGGGUGCCAAUACUUGUAGAGUUGAUUAGAUAGAUAGAUAGAUAGAUAGAUAGAUAGAUAGAUAGAUAGAUAGAGGGCCAAUACUUGUAGAGUUGAUUAGAUAGAUAGGGUGCCAAUACUUGUAGAGUUGAUUAGACAGAUAGAUAGAAAAACAUACAAUAAAUGUUUUUUUUAAAUGGCUUUAGGAAGAAAUUCUUCUCAGUUGCUUUGCAUCAUAAUUGUUUCAAAGUUUUUAUGUCAGUGGUUUUGUGUCUUAAACAUUCUGCCACUAACAAAUAAAACACACACACACACACACACACACACACACACACACACACACACACACAC